GCCGGGUGCGGUGGCACAUGCCUAUAGUCCCAGAUAUUCAGGAGGCUGAGGCUGGAGGAUUGCUUGAGUCCAGGAGUUCUGGGCUGUAGUAUGCUAUGCCGAUCGGGUGCCCACACUAAGUUCAGCAUCAAUAUGGUGACCUCCCGGGAGCGGGGGACCACCAGAUUGCCUAAGGAGGGGUGAACCGGCCUAGGUCGGAAACGGAGCAAAACUCCCGUGCUGAUCAGUAGUGGGACCGCGCCUGUGAAUAGCCACUGCACUCCAGCCUGGGCAACAUAGCCCAGACCA
ensembl:misc_RNA Metazoa_SRP Metazoan signal recognition particle RNA